ACUGCCAGGCCUAUGAGGGAGCCAAUCAAGACCAGAACUGUCCAGCUAAGGCCAGUCUAAAGCCAACUCAGACUUGUGAGCAAAAUAAAUGCUUAUUAGUCAUUGAGUUUUGGGAUGGUUUGUUACAGAACAUUACAGUGGCAAUAGUUAACUGAAGAUAAAACUCCCUUCAGUGAUGGACACCACCACUUCCCCACUGAGAUGGUUCAAGUCUAACUCCUAUUACCAUCUGAGGGAACAAGCACAUUGCAGAAUUAAGUAGCAGAGGAUUUCUAGACUUAACACGUAAUUUAAUUCAAUCCAAAUAUAUUGAGCACCCAUUAGAGACACUACAGCGAAUUAAAAAGGAAUAUGGCCACUGCCUACCUAGAAGUUUAUACAGUCUAGCAGAGGAGCCAAGACCACAGAAACAGGGUCUCGCCAUGUUGCCCAGGCUGGUCUCAAACUCCUGGACUCAAGCAAUCCUCCCACCUCAGCCUCCCAAAGUGCUGGGAUUACAGGCAUGAGUCACCACAGCCAGCCCAGUACCUGCUUUUAAGGAGCUCAUACCGACCAGAGUUCAAGCAAAAAAAAAAAAAAAAAAAAAAGCUCUUCUACAGGUCUACUUAAACUUUGAAAGAUGAGAUUGUUCAAAAAUGACACGAGAAAAUCACCCAUCACCACUAAGUUAAAGACUUGAAUAUGUGAGAGUUCCAGAGCCUCAAACUCCUACUACAGUCACUGAUCCAUAACAUUUUCCUCUUGCAAUGGACUCCACGCCAAAGUAGCUCAGUCUUGC
rnacentral:lncRNA from 10 species